GAAAACCAACAAAAAUAUUGUUUUGGAAUUUUUGGAGUCGAUUUACUUAACGUAUAACAUACCUACCCCUUUUCAGCUUUCUGGAGCGUUCCGGAAGGUCUCUUUUAUGUGUUUUUCUCGAGUCAUAACUUGAAUAAUAUUAGUUUCAACGUUGAUGGGUGUACCUGAGAUACGAUGUUUAAUUCUUUGCCCAUUUACCAUUGUCAG
rnacentral:lncRNA from 1 species